UUAGAGGAAGUAAAAGUCGUACAGGGUUUCCGUAGGUGAACCUGCGGAAGGAUCAUUA
rnacentral:rRNA from 1 species